UGCACCCGAGCUGGAGAUUGGAUUCGGGAGGGAGUGAGGGCCAAGGAGAGCGUGGAGAGUUGGACUCCUUUUCCUAAUGCAUAGACUUUCCACAGUUACCCUGGUACCCUCUGGUGCCUCAUCCAAGUGGUCCUUUAUUCAUGUUGGAGCCCAAACAGUAAGCUCUGCAUAAAUACAGCUGGUGAUUUGCACAUGUGAAUUUACUUCACGUCUUUCAGCCACGUCCAACACUGCACAAGUAAUUCAAGAUCUAUAUAAAGUACAAAAGGAUUGUUUCCUUCCACGUAUAAACAGGUUGCCACCACCAAGGUAAUGAGUUCCAGGCGUUCUGUCGCUUGUCCAAAA